AUUGAACGCUGGCGGCAUGCCUAACACAUGCAAGUCGAACGGCAGCGGGAUCUAGCUUGCUAGAUUGCCGGCGAGUGGCGAACGGGUGAGUAACGCGUAGGAAUAUACCUUUAAGUGGGGGACAACUCGGGGAAACUCGAGCUAAUACCGCAUAAUCUCUAAGGAGUAAAGCUGGGGACCUUUUGGCCUGGCGCUUAAAGAUUAGCCUGCGUCCGAUUAGCUAGUUGGUGGGGUAAGAGCCUACCAAGGCGACGAUCGGUAGCUGGUCUGAGAGGAUGAUCAGCCACACUGGGACUGAGACACGGCCCAGACUCCUACGGGAGGCAGCAGUGGGGAAUAUUGGACAAUGGGGGCAACCCUGAUCCAGCAAUGCCGCGUGUGUGAAGAAGGCCUGAGGGUUGUAAAGCACUUUCAGUGGGGAGGAAAGGUUGAGCGUUAAUAGCGUUUAACUGUGACGUUACCCACAGAAGAAGCACCGGCUAACUCCGUGCCAGCCGCCGCCGUAAGAC
rnacentral:rRNA from 1 species